UUCUGUAUAAUUUUUGCCCCAUUGAAAUACUUCUCAACCAUCCUAUUUGAUACACCCUCGUCAAAAAUAAAGUCAUACCUAUUUGACACACAAUUCAAUUCAGUUAUGCUAGCAAAUUCCCUGGGAGUAAAAUUAAGAAAGGUCCCAUUAGCAUAAAUCAGAAUCCCGGAAAAAGAACUACCCUUCACCUUAAGCGUCAUAACGUAUCUACACAACUGUGCUUGCACUACACAUUGUUGCUUCUUCAUAAAAUAACCAAAAAUAUUUUUGUCGCAAAAGUUUUUAAACUGUUCCUUGUUUAAAAUUGUGUGUAUGCUUUCAU
rnacentral:lncRNA from 1 species